AAAGUUGAAGAUGACGAGAUGAUUUCCAAUAUCCUGAAUGAUCUUGAUUAUGAAUACAAUACUUUUGCCUCUUCAAUUCUUGGUCGUUCUGAUCCCAUCUCCAUGAAUGAUCUGUUCUCCCAAUUAUUGGCAUAUGAUC
rnacentral:snoRNA from 1 species